rnacentral:rRNA from 1 species
ACCGAGUUCUUCCGAACUUAUUGGCGGAAGGGUGAGUAACACGUGAGAAUCUUGCUUCAGGACGGGGACAAGGAUGGGAAACCCUUGCUAGUACAGGAUAUGCCCAAAGGUGAAAAAUUUAUCGCCUGACCAUGAGCUCGCGACUGAGCUCUAGUUGGUGGCGGUAACAGCCCACCAAGGCAACGAUCAGUAGCUGGUCUGAGAGGAUGAUCGAAUGACUGGGACUGAAACACGGCCCAAACUCCUACGGGAGGCUUAACCGGGGAAUUUUCCGCAAUGGGCGCAAGCCUGACGGACCACCUGUGUUGCGGGAGGAAGGCCCUUGGGUCGUUUCCGCUUUUGUUAGGGAAGAAAAUUUGACGGUACCUAACGAAUAAUCCUCGGCUAACUCCGUGCCACUCCCCCGGUGUGACGGAGGAGGCAAGCGUUAUCCGGAAUUAUUGGGCGUAAAGCGUCCGCAGGUGGCAUCUCUUUCUGCUGUCACUACCCAGGUGUCAACUCUGGAUCGCCAGUGAAAACUGGUACGCUAGAUUACGGUAGGACUAAAGGGAAUUCCAAUUGUAUCGGCUCCAUGCGUAGAUAUUGAUAAGAACACCUUUAGCGAAAGCGCACUGCUGGCCCUUAACUGACACUCCUGAACAAAAGCUCGUGGAGCGACUGGGAUUAGAUACCCCUGUACUCCUACCCUAAUCCGAUGUACCCUAUGUGUCGCCCGUAUCAAACCGUACACUGCCGUAUCCAACGCGUAAUUUGUCCCGCCCU